AUAUGAGUGGUAUGCCCCCUAACAACGUCCCUUCCAGCAGCAACAUGUCACCAAAUAUGGGAAGCAUGUCACAGAACAACCUCGGAGGGAUGCCGCAGAACAACUAUGGUGGAACACCACCGCCCAACAACUAUGGUGGAAUGCCACCACCCAACAACUAUGCAGGAGUGCCGCCACCACAGAACAACUAUGGAGGAGCGCCGCCACCACAGAACAGCUAUGGAGGAGCGCCGCCACCACAGAACAAGUAUGGAGGGACGCCGCCACCACAGAACAACUAUGGAGGGACGCCGCCACCACAGAGCAACUAUGGAGGAACGCCGCCACCCCAGAGCAACUAUGGAGGAACGCCGCCACCGCAGAACAACUAUGGAGGAGCGCCGCCACCGCAGAAC
rnacentral:lncRNA from 1 species